AAAUAAAUUUAAUCGCUGGUCCAAAAACAUGUUUUUGGACCAGAUUUUUUACUCGCUCGUCUAGUACACGUGCAGAAGUUAUAAAGUGUAUUUUUUAAUUGGCCAAAACACCCUUUUAAGUCGGAUCUAAUUCUGUUUUAUCAGUUCGUUCGUUCAUCACAAAUUAGAGAGCUUUGGCAAUGGCGAUUGGUGGAAAAAUCUCGAAGAAUUCCAACUCUCGAUUCAAACUAAAACCAGAAGAGGCAAUAAUGGUGAAUCGUCAUUUUUCAGCUCCAACGAAUUUCGAUUCAAGUUCGAACGAUUGGAUGGAUGUUGUUGAGGCAAAUUUUAAAAAGGGGACAUCAUCCCAUUAGAUUGCAUAAAAGCUAAGGAUCUUGUGGAUGGAGAUGACAAAGAUUCUAAUGAUCAUGAUGGAAAUACAACUCGCUUUGCUACCGGUUCAUGAGAAGUAUGUUAUCAGGGUUACUCACUAUCCACACAGAAACAUGGUUACCGCACACAGAACCUUGGUUUCCUUAGGGUUAC